UCGUCAGCUCGUGUCGUGAGAUGUUGGGUUAAGUCCCGCAACGAGCGCAACCCUUGUUAUUAGUUGCCAGCAUUAAGUUGGGCACUCUAAUGAGACUGCCGGUGACAAACCGGAGGAAGGUGGGGAUGACGUCAAGUCAUCAUGCCCCUUAUGACCUGGGCUACACACGUGCUACAAUGGGCAGUACAACGAGAAGCAAGCCUGCGAAGGCAAGCGAAUCUCUGAAAGCUGUUCUCAGUUCGGACUGCAGUCUGCAACUCGACUGCACGAAGCUGGAAUCGCUAGUAAUCGCGGAUCAGCGCGCCGCGGUGAAUACGUUCCCGGGCCUUGUACACACCGCCCGUCACACCAUGGGAGUCUGCAAUGCCCAAAGCCGGUGGCCUAACCUUCGGGAAGGAGCCGUCUAAGGCAGGGCAGAUGACUGGGGUGAAGUCGUAACAAGGUAGCCGUA
rnacentral:rRNA from 1 species